CCUCUCUUUGUGCCUGCAAUAAGUCCCAGUGAUCCCAGUGAUGAGUCUGGGAGUAUCAAAAAGCACUUCUGAAAAGCACUCUCCUUGCCUUCUAUCCUAAAUUAUCUUGCACUGCUAUGCACAAUCAAGAAAUGAUCAAAACAGAGCACAGAAGCUAAGCCCCAUAAAUAAUCCAGCAGACAUCAGGAAGAAGCUGGAGUUGUAGAAGACGUAAUGGAAAUCACUGGUUAUGUCUACCAGGAGACCUGAAAUAGAAGUCAUAGCUUAGCCAAAGAGAAGAGGCACACUAAAGCACCUCCCUUCCUUCUCGCUACAGGAUCCUGGCACGAGAUUGCUUAAGAAACCACUGCCUUCUCCUUUUAUAUUUCACAAGACUGUGACCACAGCCAGGUAGAGGACAGGACCACACCUCCUCUGAGAUUCCUGGCUCCCCUCACAUCUCCCUGGGCGCCUGCUUACAGGGGAGGACUCUCCAGUUGGGCUCCAGACCCCAUGGCUUUCGUC